GUAUGAGCUCGUCAAUGAUAAUCGACAUAUCUUGCGUUUCAUACUAAGUGAGCCUUCGUCCAAGACACCUUUAGUGUUUUCUUUCUUUUCUUCAAUUUCAACCGCAUUCCCACCGACAAGUUGGUGGAUUUCAUCCAUGCAUCUUUACUCACCUUGGACAAUUAAAAUAUUAAUAGGCAAAAUACUUAAAUUUCAAGAAUUCAAUGUAUUACAUCUAUUAUUGGCAUUGUACAAGGACUAAUGAAUAUUUCACCACAAG